rnacentral:rRNA from 1 species
UACAGAGGGUGCUAGCGUUGUUCGGAAUUACUGGGCGUAAAGAGCGCGCAGGCGGCUGGUCAAGUCCGAUGUGAAAGCUCCCGGCUUAACUGGGAAAUUGCAUCGGAAACUGAUCGGCUUGAGUUUGGGAGAGGGAUGCGGAAUUCCAGGUGUAGCGGUGAAAUGCGUAGAUAUCUGGAGGAACACCGGUGGCGAAGGCGGCAUCCUGGACCAACACUGACGCUGAGUGAGCGAAAGCCAGGGGAGCAAACGGG